rnacentral:rRNA from 1 species
GAUGAACGCUGGCGGCGUGCCUAAUACAUGCAAGUCGAGCGAACAGACGAGGAGCUUGCUCCUCUGACGUUAGCGGCGGACGGGUGAGUAACACGUGGAUAACCUACCUAUAAGACUGGGAUAACUUCGGGAAACCGGAGCUAAUACCGGAUAAUAUAUUGAACCGCAUGGUUCAAUAGUGAAAGACGGUUUUGCUGUCACUUAUAGAUGGAUCCGCGCCGCAUUAGCUAGUUGGUAAGGUAACGGCUUACCAAGGCAACGAUGCGUAGCCGACCUGAGAGGGUGAUCGGCCACACUGGACCUGAGACACGGUCCAGCCUCCUACGGGAGGCAGCAGUAGGGAAUCUUCCGCAAUGGGCGAAAGCUUGACGGAGCAACGCCGCGUGAGUGAUGAAGGUCUUCGGAUCGUAAAACUCUGUUAUUAGGGAAGAACAAAUGUGUAAGUAACUAUGCACGUCUUGACGGUACCUAAUCAGAAAGCCACGGCUAACUACGG